AAAUAAUGAGGAUCCGGUGUAUACAACCGUUAAAAAGUACAAACCCAACCCCAAGCAUAAUAAGACAGAUCACGUCAAUCAUUAAAAUCCACUAUAUUCGUCUGUGAACAUGGACAAUCAACACUCUACAAGUGUGAACAAAGCUGUUCAACCUUUAAAGCAUGGCAAUCGAUCACGUUUUGCAAAUAGAUACGCUGAAAAUACCCAACUGUGUCAAGCGAUAAACAAGCAAGGCAUUUUGGAAUCCACUGCUAACACAGGAAACCCACCUUAUCCGACACAGAACCUGACUGAAGAAGCUAGCUCCUCUUGGGUGCCGCCUAUUCAACUAACCACAGAGAAGUUUCAGCAGCAAAAUCUGCGGCGCAAGUUCCAAUUUAUAGCAAAGUGAACAAGAAGACAGUUAACGGUCUACGCGCGAAAUUUGAUUCAUGCUGAAAGUUAACGGAAAAGCAACAGUGAGCCUUAGUCGUUCGACAAUCAAACGACAGACCUAUUAAACAUUACAGCAUCAUAUUACCGCGGCUCGGCGCAAUAAUAUCUAGCUGGCUUUGCAAAAUAUUGUACAUGCGUAUUUUUGUAAAUGCUUUUUUAUUCCGCUUUGUAUAAUUUGCAUUGAUAGCUCGAAUCCUAUUGAACUGUACGGAUGCCUGUGUGAACUGUACGGAUGUCUGUGUGAACUGUACGGAUGCCUGUGUGAACUGUACGGAUGCCUGUGUGAACUGUACGGAUGUCUGUGUGAAUUGUACGGAUGCCUGUGUGAACUGUACGGAUGCCUGUGUGAACUGUACGGAUGCCUGUGUGAACUGUACGGAUGCCUGUGUGAACUGUACGGAUGCCUGUGUGAACUGUACGGAUGCCUGUGUGAACUGUACGGAUGUCUGUGUGAACUGUACGGAUGUCUGUGUGAACUGUACGAAUGUCUGUGUGAACUGUAAGGAUGCCUGUGUGAACUGUACGGAUGCCUGCGUGAACUGUACGGAUGCCUGUGUGAACUGUACGGAUGCCUGUGUGAACUG